AAAAGUUUUGUAAGGUUGCACGGGUUGCCCAAGUCGACUGUAGACCUACUGUAGGGUCGAUAAGCUUUACUUAGACCCUUAUAUGUGUGAUCUGUCUGUCAAAUUUCUAUACCGAGCAUGACUUAUGAUAUCUAAAUGUAUGUAUUAUUAAUUGCAUAAUGGCAUGUCAUAUUUUGUAUGUUGCAUUGCAUCGGGGUGGGUUGAUG
rnacentral:lncRNA from 1 species